UUUUAUUGAUGGGAAGAGUUUAAGUGUGGGAUUCAUGUUACCAAAUCGAUUUGAUCUUCUGUUUGACGCUGAUUCAAAGGCUCCUGAUUUGGCACUCCAUUGGUUAUUUUCAUUAUGUACCCCAUGCUAAUUAAAAGUAAGCUCGACAAACAAAUUAAGGGAAAACUCUAUAUGGUACAUAACGUGAGGUUUUGGUACAAGCUGCUAUUCUAUUUGUUUGUGGAAGUUAUUCAGUUGAAGAACCUUUAUGCUUGCAAUUUACACAUCCCCUAGCGCCAGCUUAAGAAGGGAGAUAGGGUCUGGGGGGCCUGGAGGGGAUGCUCACCAGGCUUGCUACUGCACUUCUGUUACCAUCUAAAUGUUUGAGCCUGCUAUGCCUGACGACUCAAUGCUUUGCUACAAUGAACCUACAAUGAACUUUGCUACAAUACCAGGCUUGUCUACAAUGAACUCAUUUUGAAUUGUGUUAAUUGUUACCAUCUAAAAGCGUUGA